rnacentral:rRNA from 1 species
AUGCAGAGAACUUCCAGAGAUGGAUUGGUGCCUUCGGGAACUCUGACACAGGUGCUGCAUGGCUGUCGUCAGGCUCGUGUCGUGAGAUGUUGGGUUAAGUCCCGUUAACGAGCGCAACCCUUGUCCUUAGUUACCAGCACGUUAUGGUGGGCACUCUAAGGAGACUGCCGGUGACAAACCGGAGGAAGGUGGGGAUGACGUCAAGUCAUCAUCGGCCCUUACGGCCUGGGCUACACACGUGCUACAAUGGUCGGUACAAAGGGUUGCCAAGCCGCGAGGUGGAGCUAAUCCCAUAAAACCGAUCGUAGUCCGGAUCGCAGUCUGCAACUCGACUGCGUGAAGUCGGAAUCGCUAGUAAUCGUGAAUCAGAAUGUCACGGUGAAUACGUUCCCGGGCCUU